AGAUGCAAUUCCAAAGUACUCUGCUCAAAACCCGCGCGAUCAGUUGUUGUUGGUAAAUAUUUACUCCCUUCCUGUCUGCCAGGGGCCCACUCACAUGGACAUGCUAUAAAUCUGAGCACCGCUUUAAAUGAUGAUCACAUAUGCGCGACGAGGCUUAGUACCAUGGAGUCGUCAUACGAAUCGGAAGCACACUAGAGUUACUGUCGGCAACAUGAAGAAGUUAUUCGUUUUCGUUCUUAGUCUACUGCUACUGAGUUUGGCCUUAGAAAUAAGUGCAGGCUCAGCUAGAAAGAUGUGCAUGAAGAAGCUGAACCAGGUUUUGAUGUUUAUCUGCAACGAUGAAGUCAACAACUUGGACCAACAUCAGUAUGACACCUACAAAGAGUGCUGCGUUAAAUCAUGUGAAAUGACGACGUUGGCGAAAUUGUGCAAAAAUCAAUCGCAAUAACAGAUGCAGACCUUCUUUGUUAGUGAACGGUAUUGUUGUUGAUCUUCAGUCAGCAAAACCAGUUGAUGAAGCCAGGUGAAUUUUGUACUAGUAUGGAUUGUUUCAAUAGUGAUGACCUAUAAUUUUCAACAAGA